rnacentral:lncRNA from 1 species
AAAGCUGUACUACUCGCGACGGCCAGAUGUGUACGCAAAUUUCUGGGAGGUACUCCAGCAUACCAAAUCACCUAGGGCUCGAUAACACGGAAAGAGUCCCACCAGAGCUCAAUACUUUUGAUACCGUAGGUAUCUGGGAUGAGUCAAUUUUCCCCUUAGAGGUAGUGUGAGCCGUAUGACAACUAUUAAAAAAUAAUGACAAAUAUUUUUAUUAUUGAUGAUUGGUGAUUACUAACUCAGUAGUAUUAACGUAGUAUGUAUUCUCAAGUCUCGCUGGCUACUGAUACUGCAUAGGUAUACAAAGUUCCAUUAUGCAAAAAUUAUGUAUUUAGUAAUUAAGACCAGUUGAUACAUACAGGGUUUCUAUUAAUCAUUGGUGCAGUCAGGAGAAAGGUGAAUAAUGCAAUUUAUUGCUCUACCCCUUUCCAAAAAAAAAACAAAAAAUAUUUUAGCUUCAUACUUGCUACAAGGUAUUACAUACCCGUCUACCGAUUGUUUCUCGGAAGGAGGGAAUUGAUAAAAGGCAUAGAACUAUAACAA